UGGAAGACUACCAUCCUGUCCUUGGUACACCACAGAUACAAUGAGAGCAUAUAAAUAAUAAAAGGAACUGAAUUGCAAAGCAUGUGCCAGGCCCCUGUCUGAGCAGACAUGUUCAAGACUGGCCUGUUGUAAAACCGCGGAACAACUAAGAAGUUCAACUCCAAGCUAUAGUACAUCCUAAGAAGCAUAAGGCUUGUUUCUGGCACUUAUAUGCA